GGGGAAACCAUUAGGCCUGUGAUUGCUCCAAAAUUUCAAUUCAACCCUCUCCAUUAGCAGCAUCAGGAAGCGAAACCUUCGUCCCCUCCGCUAUCUCACUUUCACUCUCAUUCUGUGAAUUCGAAAACAGAAACCACACGAGAUAAAGAUGUCGCAGCGUUACUUUCACCACAACAAGAAGUCACAACAAGAAGAGUGGAGCGGCUCCAACCCCAGAAAUUUCCCAAAAAACCAUAAGAAAUUCAUUCCGAGAAAUCAAAAUCCUAAUUCUAAUUCCAGUCCCGAUCCUACGCUCUCAAAUUCUCUUAGACAAUCGCUUUCAAAGCAAUCCGAUGCCGCCGAACCAGCAUCGACUGCUAACAGUGGCGCAGCGUCAUCCAGUAAGGUUCGGAUGGGAGAUGACGAAGAUUGGGUGUCCAGCGGAACGGCAGCGGGACGUCAGGAUGUUGGCAAUUUCAUAAAUUACUUGCCGCAGGAUGAGGCGGUGGCGGCUGGGCUCGGCGCCAAGGAAGGAGGAUUGGAUCCAGUGGAGUCUCAGAGAGUUGUGGAUCUUUUGAAUAGGGAGUUGUCUCGGUUGCUUAAGUUGAGUCCUAGAGAGUUCUGGAGGGAAGUGGCUAGUGACAAUUCCUUGCAUGAGUUUCUGGAUAGCUUCCUGAAAUAUAGAAGUAGAUGGUAUGAUUUCCCUCAUCGUGGAGUUAAGGGCAUUGUCGCAGGCGUCGUUGUUGGAGAACAUGAUUUAAGCCGCCGUGUUUUCAUGAUCUUCCAACAGGGAUCCAGGCGCUCGGGCUGCUGAUACUCUUAGUUCAAGAGAUCAUGCAUUCCUUUUGCAGGAAAAAAAGUUGCUUGACCUGCCGAAGUUGUUGGAUAUAUGUGCCAUUUAUGGCCAUGAAAAUGAAGAAUUGAUUCAAUUUCUGGUGUGCAUGUUGUCUCUACUAUCAUCACUUUAUGUUUUAUUCUGUUCAUUAUACCAUUACUGAUUCUUAACUCGAGCUAUAACUAAUUUUUUAUGCUUAAAAUUUGUUGUCUCAUUUUGUUUACCUUCACCAAAUUAGAGGCCCUUGAUUUUCUAAUUGGUUUAUAACUGUAGCCUUUGACGAAAGAGAACUUCAGAAUUUACUAUUAUUUCUCCAAUUGUGAUAAAUAUAAUAUCAUUAGCUUCUUAACGGGGAACAUAAAGGACGCAUUUCUUUUUGCGCAAAUCAGGUUGGCAGUUGACUUGCAACAACUAAUUUCAAGAUUUUGACUUGUUAAUUACUUGAGUACCUGAAGAUUCCAGUGAUAAAAAUGGACCAAUUUCCCUCAGCAAGCAUAUGUCACAUCAUCACUUGAGCAGAAAAAGAAAAAAUUGUCAAUGAGAUGAAAAUGUCUUGCUGCCCCUUAGAUGUGAUAGAAGAACUUGAAUUUUUGCUUCAUAAUCUGCCUUAUCCUGUUGAGUGUCAUGAAAUUUUUAUGAAAUAAUGUUUGUUCAAAUUAUAAUUAAAGUGCCUCCUUUGAUGGGUACUGGUGAAAGUUGAAAUUUCAGAAGUUGGAUGUAGUGGGCAUCUCAUAUUAUGUGUGUUCAUGAUCACAUGAAGAUGUUCUUUUGAGCCUUAAAUUGAAUUUAUAUGAUCUCUCUCUUUCAUGAUUUUCCCCCCAGGUUAAGAAUGCUUUGCAAGCCCAGACUGGGAUCUAUGAUAAUUUAACUGCGGCCAUGUCACAGUUUUUGGGGAUCGUUCACACAAUGUUUCAACGUUGCAUCUCAUCUUUGGAGGCUUUAUUUUCCUCUGCAAGCCAUGAAGACCUUGGAUCUAGUUCUCUUCAUUAUGAUUUGUUAGAGGUGAUGGAUUUCAUAAAUGAUGCAGUUGUUUCCAUCGAUGCUUUUAUUAAUGCAUACAAACCAGCAGCUGUGUUCUUUUCAUGCCCUAUAGAAAUGAGUUAUGGGAAUGAGGAAUUGUUGGUCAUGCUUGCAAGAUUGCAUGAUACUUUGCUUCCAUCUUUACAACGUGGGUUCCGAAUUAUAUUGGCAGGAGGAGAUGAUGAAAUGAUAUCAAAUAUUGCUGUUAGUUUGAAGAUGUUAUCCAUGAGGAUUUGCAAACUGGGUUGGAAAUUGUUGGAUAUUUGCUAUUUAAGUAAUGAAGUAUUCACAGAUUGCGUUCCCAUUCCAGCUGUAACAAAGAUGUUUCCAGCAAAAGUGGACGACCCUGUCAUAAGAGCAGAUAUAUUGAUUCAAACCUUUAGGGAGAUCAGUGGAGUACUGCUGUACACCCAAGAGAAUCAGAACAGAAAUACAUUUCUUCAGAAUCUUGAUAAGAAUUACCAUCUAAUGAGCAAACUGCAGAGCUUACAGAAUGCUGGAUGGAUAUUCAUAGAUGAUGAACAGCUCCAGUAUUUAUCUGCGAUAACAAUGUUUUCUCUGAAGAGUACUGUUGAGAAGCAAACACUUAUGCCAACCCCUGUUUCAAGCAACAAAGUUGAAAUGGAUGAAGAUGCAGCCAUCAAGGAAUCCAAAAUUAGUCAAAUAAGGGACUUAUUUCCUGAUUAUGGUAAGGGGUUUUUGGCUGCCUGCCUUGAAGUUUAUAACCAUGAUCCAGAAGAGGUGAUUCAGAGAAUACUCGAGGGGACUCUUCAUGAAGAUCUUAAGUGCUUGGAUCCAUCACUGCAGACCAUGCCAACAGCCAAGUCUGCUUUGACCAAGGAUAAAGGAAAGGGGAAGUUAGUUGAAUCUACAUCAUUCCCCUCAACAACACCAACUAACUCUGCCAAUACAGAGGUAGCAGGAGAGCGACAAUUUGAUAGUACAUCUGUUUCAUCCUCACCUACAGUUGGCAGGUUUGUUAGAAAGUCUAAUGAUGUGCAUGAACAUUAUACUCUUGAUGCCAGAGAUGACAAAGGUGCAGCUAGGACUUUAGCUUUGAUUUCACAGUACGAGUAUGAGGAUGAAUAUGAUGACUCCUUUGAUGAUCUAGGUUUGAGUGUUGUUGAGUCAGGGUUGGAGGAGAAUGAAAUAUUUAGUGACAAAGUCAGCUCUAGUUUGGGGAAAUCUUCAGGGACUGAAAGUGAAAUCUCUGUUCAAACUGCUCCUAAUACAAAGUGGGGAUCUAGAAAAAAGCCGCAAUACUAUGUCAAGGAUGGAAAGAACUACAGCUACAAGGUUGCAGGUUCAGUUGCAGUUGCAAAUUCCAGUGAAGCUUCACUAGUUAGUCAAGCGCAGGGAGAACUAAUUUAUGGUCUUGGACAGGGUGGUAACAUUCCUCUAGGUGCAGUUAAGAAGUUGACCGAGUAUCAGGAGCAGGAACACCAGAGGGAAUCUGAUGAACCUGAGAUGGAAGGGAGAGGGAACACAAGGAAUCCCAGAGGUAGAGGCAGGAGGGGAGGGGGAGGAAGGCUGAGGGAGUCGCAUGAAGACCAGGAUGACCAAUCUGAUGGUUCUGAGAUUGAAGGGAGAGGAAAUGCAGGAAUUCCCUGGGGCAGGGGAAGGAGAGGAAGAGGAAGAGGAAGAGGAGAAGAAGAAGAAAAUAGAAAGGGCAGUGAAAAAGAAAUCAGGAAAAUUGUUGGGCUUGUGGGUUUGUAAAUUAUGGGUGUUGGUGAUACGUGAUGGUGGUGGAGGUGGUGGAGGUUGUGACAUGUCAGUUAAGAAUGUUACUGUCACAGUCCAAUCGCAGCAGCAGCAGGAGCAGCAAUAGGUUUUCCAUCCUGAGAAGAAGGAAAGGACGAGGAGGAGUUGAUU
rnacentral:misc_RNA from 1 species